AUACGGAGGGUGCAAGCGUUACUCGGAAUCACUGGGCGUAAAGCGCGCGCAGGCGGGCUGAUAAGUUGGAUGUGAAAGCCUACGGCUCAACCGUAGAACUGCAUCCAAAACUGUCAGUCUAGAGUCUGGGAGGGGAAGAUGGAAUUAGUUGUGUAGGGGUAAAAUCCGUAGAGAUAACUAGGAAUACCAAAAGCGAAGGCGAUCUUCUGGAACAGCACUGACGCUGAGGCGCGAAAGCGUGGGGAGCAAACAGGAUUAGAAACCCGGGUAGUCC
rnacentral:rRNA from 1 species